UUAUGCAAGGAAAGAAUUUAGUGCCAAAGA
rnacentral:piRNA from 1 species